CAGACACACAACUAAGCUUCCCAUCUGAAAGUAGUUUCAUGUCCUUAAGGACCAUAACCUCUCUCUCUCUAACAAAAAAAAAUACAAGAUAGAGAGAGAAAGUAUGGCUCACAUAAAGAUCUAACAGAGACAGUAGUCCCACUGGCCACUUCCCCACCACAACCCAUCUUCGAUCAUCAUCAUCAUCAAUGGAUCAUAACCCGAAUCAUCAUAGACCAAACUUCCCUCUCCAGCUUCUUGAUUCUUCUUCCUCCUCUUCCACUUCCUUAGCCAUCAUCCCAUCAGCUUCUUCUUCCGAACCUAACUCCGACCCUAACGCUCUCUCCAAGAAACCACCUCCAAAGCGAACCUCAACUAAGGACCGACACACCAAAGUAGAUGGCCGAGGCCGUAGGAUCCGUAUGCCCGCCAUGUGCGCCGCACGUGUCUUUCAGCUCACACGUGAGCUAGGUCAUAAAUCCGACGGUGAAACCAUCGAGUGGCUUCUCCAGCAAGCUGAGCCGGCGGUUAUAGCCGCUACAGGGACUGGAACCAUUCCGGCUAACUUCGCUUCGCUUAAUAUCUCACUUCGCAGCUCAAGAUCUUCUCUCUCUGCUGCUCAUCUUCGUACAACUCCAAGCAGCUAUUACUUCCAUUCCCCUACCAUGACUCUUCCUCAUCAGGUGCGUCCCAAGAACGAGUCGCAUUCCUCUUCUUCUUCGCAGCUCCUAGACCACAACCAAAUGGGGAACUAUUUAGUACAAUCAACGGCUGGAUCUUUGCCUACGAGCCAGACUCCUACCACGGCACCGUUUUGGAGUAGUGGUGAUAGUACGCAGAAUCUUUGGGCUUUUAAUAUUAAUCCUCAUCAUUCCGGUGAUGUUUACAACACUAGCGGUGGUGGUGGUGGCGGCGGAGCAGGAGGAGUACAUCUGAUGAAUUUUGCAGCUCCUAUUGCUUUGUUUUCUGGACAGCCUUUGGCGUCUGGUUAUGGAGGAGGAGGUGGAGAGCAUAACCAUUACGGAGUUUUAGCUGCUUACCGACCGGUUCAGGAGACGGCGAACCAGCAAAACCACGAAGGAGAUCAUCAUCACAACCCUCAAGAAGAUGGAAGCACGAGUCAUCAUCAUUCAUAGGCAAAACCACACACACAAAUAAUAUAUCUAAAGUGUGUACACGAAAGGAUGCCUUUAGAUAUGGUGCCAUAUUAAUGCCAGUAGGUCGUCUUCUAUAUUUAUAUUGCGGAGCGCAGGAACGUAAGAUUAAAUGAUCAAAGAUCACGUAUGGUCGAAGCUUGCUACGUUUGCAGAUUUAAGAUACACAAUCUCUGAAUCCAUGAAACUUAUAGCCAACGUUAAUUCUUGUUAAAUAAUAAUGUAUGUAUAUACAUGUAAAGAUUGUGAAGUUCGAACACCUAAAACAUUCAUCAAAGAUAUUUCAUUCUCUUCCGAAA